CUACACAGGCAUUGCAUGGCUGUCAUCAGCCCGUGGCGACAAGCUGUCCAGACAUUAGUCUGGGAACGGGCAUCUCCCCUACUCGAAUAGCAUAUUCGAGACUGUUAUCUUUUCGAGCGAAGAGAUAAAGGAAGUUGGGACGAAGUCAAGUCAUCAUGGUCCUCAUGGAGUGGGCCACACGUGUGUGACAACGAAAGUCACAAUAGCAAGCAUCGGCGGAAGCCAAAGCGACGCUUUAAAAGCUUUCGUAGUGCCGAUAAAAGCCUGAAACUCGGCUUUUUGAAGGCGGAAUCGCCAGUAAUCGUAGGUCAGCAAACUACGGUGAAACGUCACAUGCUUGUCUCAACGACGCAUCGCCCGUCACGUUUGGAGAGUGUCGUGCACAGGAAAACUGGAUGAAUACCGAUCAGAAAUUUCUCGGAGUGUGUCACUAAAGUGACACAUAAGACUCGAAUUUUAACGAGUCGAAAACGCUGUUUGAUGUUCGUUUUGUUGAAUGUGUGUAGCGCAAUCUAGAUGAAGUCGUAACAAGGUAGCUGUACGGGAACGUGUAGCUG
rnacentral:rRNA from 1 species